CGCAGGUCAACAAUCUGUACAAUUUGCCCUAUGCUUAAAAUGUAAAUGGCCGCGAAAGUGGUAAGGUAGCAAAAUCAAUAGCCUAUUAAUUGUAGCCUAGAAUGAAAAAUUAAACUUUUCAGAAAGUAACUUUUUUAAAAAAAAAAUUAAUUUUUUUGUGAAAAAGCAAAAGUGAGUUUCUUAGACGAGAAGACCCUAAAACUUUUGAAGUAUAAUGGGAUAAUUCUGUAAUUUAAUAAACACCAAUUACCCCCCAGGUAAGACCCUAAAAAGCUAAAUAAAAGUACUUUAGGGAUAACAGCACUUCUU
rnacentral:rRNA from 1 species